rnacentral:lncRNA from 1 species
AAAAAAAGAAGUUGAACUCAAUUCGUUUCAAUCUCUUCUCUUCUCUCUCACUCCCUACCGAUCUGUCCCAAUCUCGUCGAUUCUGUCCAUCCUCUCUCGCGAGCCCUACGCCGUCUCAACAAAAAUGAACAACAUCUGGACGACGCCGUCUCUAAACCAGAGAUCCGUCUUCUCUCUUUGACUUCCCCCGCUUCUUCCAUGGCUGAAACCCUCCAAAAUCCUAACCCUAACAUCUCUGCCUAUUACCAGACUAGGGCCGCUCACCACACGUCAUCACCAGCGACUGGCUUGCCCAGGCCCAGGUGGCCGUCGGCAAUAAAACUAAUGAAGGCAGAGAGCAGGACUAAGAGAUAUCGGACCAAAAGGCAGAUAGAGCUAGAGAACGACAGAGAGAGAGUGUGAGCGACGAGCGAUCGAUUCCAUCAGGCAGCCAUUCUAGGGUUUUCUUCAACAAAUCUCUGGCUUAAAUCUUCAUUGGUACAAAGGUAUGUAUGAUUAUUAAGGGUAUUUGUGCGAUUGAUUGUGAUGGGUACGUUUGUUUGUUUAAUUCUAGGUUUUGAAAUUCCAUAACUCUCUCUCUCGUUCUCCCUCCCUCUGUCUCUAGUAUUUUGGAUUUGGGGAUUUUCACAAGCAGUUAGUAUGUUUCUCUCUUGUUAGUGAUGGAGUUCAGUUCCAAGUUUAAGGUGUUGAUUUCUCAAGAUGAUUUCCCUCAAUGGUUGACUGGUUGAGUUUGUGUUUUAUAAACUUCUCAUUUUAGUAUGAUAGUGUUAUAUUUUAUCCUAAUUAGAAAUCAUAUGUACCAUUGUAGUUCGCUAGCGGGGAAAAGGUAAUUUUUAAGUUUGCAUAUGAAUCGAGGUAUGUUUAAUUUGGUUUACCUGUGAGCUUGAAUUCCUACUUUAGUAGUUUUAUUAGGCUUCCAUUAGUUAUGGUAGCAUCUUAUAAUACUCUUUGGUGAAUUACAGGCAUGGAAAAUGAAGGGAAGAGUAAGUCUUAGGAGUUUGUACCAGGCAAGGAUAGUAAUAGUUAUUAGCUUGUCUCCAAUGUCAGUGUGAGGUAACUUCAGUUCAAGCAAAGAUAAUAUUGAUUGUUUGACUGAGAUGAUACACACCCGAAUAAAGAAAAUCAAUGGUGACAUUUCUGAGAUUUCCCCUAUUGGAACUAAGCAGAGGACUGCUAAGAUCUGAAUUUAAUCUCAUAGUUCUGCUUAAAAUGUAGUCUUUGAAAGGCUUUGGUGGAGCAUAACUUAUUAUCAAAUAAAAAAAUAGUAGUGGGCAUAAUGUGUCAUGAUCCAUAAAGUAGUGAUCAUCUCCUUGUAAACUGCAAUACACUUUGUUAUAUUGAUACCUGCUCCUAACGUUGAUGUGCCCUUUUAAUGUUUGAAUAUUGCCAAUUUGUCCAAGUAUUUUGCCGUUGUAUACAGAUAACUUCCCCUAGUAAUUCACAUCCUUGCAGCUGCUUCUGAAGGGUUGUGUGCUUCUGUUAGUUGGUUGCAUAUAUUUGGGUUCAUUAGAUGAAGGAUUGCUUUUAAGAUUAACAUUUCAUACAUCACAUAAACAUUGUUCAGCUAAUUAGACCUGUCUUUCCUCUCUGUUAUAGCGUUAUCGAUACAUUGAGGCAUAUACAAGUAUACAUAUAAUAGGAUCUGGAGGGACAGAUUUUACAUGAUGGGUUUAUCUAACAAAGAUAUAGUAGCACUAUCAGGAGGACACACACUGGUAAGUUGCAUCUACAAAAUUGUUUUUGACUCAUACUCUUGUAUAUUUUGCUUCUGGGACAAACUCAAAGCUCUUUCACUCUGAAAUCAUAUUCAUGCAGUUAGCCACUCUUUUGGUGUUUUGUGUGAUAGGGGCCGAGGGGGACGAGGAACUGGGCCAGGCACACUUUUGCACAAGUGCUACAACCAAUUCUUCAAGAACUCACAGAAACUUUGGCUGAAAAGCAUGUUAUCAUUAUCCAAAACAUCAAGAUAAUAAACGGAUCUAAACUAAAAAAAGGUAAUUAAUGGUUGUUGUUUUCCCUUUUCAGGAAAGCCCUUGGGGUUUCAUUAGUAAAAUGUUUUUUAGUUUCUUCUGGCUAUAUAUGUUGAACUGCCUUCAUUGGGUUUUUUGUAUUGGUUCAUCCCGCUCGGUCAAUCAUGAGUUUUCAUUACUAGAAUUCAAGAAUACUUUUGCUGCUAGGGUGAUUUAGAUAUGCAAAACAUGGGGGUUCUCUUAGAAAUUAUGGAAGCUUUUGAUAUGCUAACUGCGAUGAGGUCAAGAGGUUUUACUUUUGUAAUUCAUAUACAUUAAUUUAAUUUUCUAAUUCCUCUGCUCUAGAUUUGUUACCUAUACGUUCCCUGAAUUUCUUUCAUCUUAAAAAUGGUUGUAUGUGUUUGUCUAUACUAUAUUCAAUAUAGAGAUUAAGUUUGUGAUAGUUUUGUCUAUUACCAGCGACUAACAGUCUUAGGAAGUAAUGCCAUACAUAUAGAUGCUAGAUAGGUGGACCUUGAGCAAAAGUUUGUAACCAAAAUCAAAACAGUUAUCGAGGGGACUUGCAUUUCCUUCUGAACAGUGUAUGUCCUGCAAGAUUCUGGCAUUGCUUUGUUUGAUACAAUUAUAGACUAAUAGUUAAAACUUAAAACUAAAACUACAACUGCAGAAGAUUUGAAGGUUGUACAUCAUUUUAGUCAGUAAAGUCUAUACUUCUUCAGCUACUCCUUUGCCUGUAUUUUGCUAUAAUAAGCCAAAAAAUUAAAGAAUUAUACAAAAAAUUUACGGCUGCAUGACGAUUACUCUUGUACUUUUAGAGGGAUUACUUUGGAAACUUGUAUAACAGUAUGGCUAUUUUCCUGGUGUAAAGUUAAUACAUUGAUUCUUUUCCAUAUUAAAAGCAUAACAAUAUGGCUAUUUUUUUGGUAUAACAGUAUGGCUUAGUGCAGUGCAAUAAGUGCUCAUAAUGGAUUUGUUACAGCAAACGAUGAAAAAAAUCUCAAAAUGGGUUUGUAACAGCAAACGAUGAGAAAAUGUCAAAAUCGCUGAAGAACUUCUUCACCAUUCGCGAGGUAAACCGAAAAAUUGUCUAAUUGUUUUUUCACAUAAUUGUUGAAGCAUUGUCUGCAAUCAUGCCUUUUAGAACCUUGUCCCGCUAGUUUAUCUGACAUUCCUAAAUUAGAACCUUGGUAAAAUUCCUAAAUUAGAACCUUGUGGCUCUUGUGUGACUGAGACUGGUAAAAUUCUUUCAGGAGAAUGCAGCUGCAGCAGCAUAGAAGGCUUGACUUAUUGAUUUUAACAACAUAGAAGUUGCAAUGUUGCUGAAUAAUGUGAAGUUGGUAUCUCGAGCCCGUUCCCAGGGUAAAGAUCUAUUCAAUAUAGUAGUAAUUAUAUUGAAAAGUGAAUUUGAGAUGUAUGGAUAGUUUGGCAUUAUUGAGAUGUAAACGUAUUGUAUGGUAUUAAUAUUCUUUGUAAUUGGCAUUAAAAAGAAUUAUUGGGAUGUAAACGUAUUGUAUGGUAUUAAUAUUCUUUGUAAUUUUAGUUAUAUAUCAGGCAUUAGCAUAUUGCAGGUGCAUUGGUAAUAUAGGUGAACCACCAUAUUUAUUUAUUUUUUAAUCUACAACAUUUUAAAAACGUUGUGUGAAAGUGUUUAAACGUUG